CACUUGGCAGUUUGCGAUUGUAUUGCUAGGAAUCCGCCAGGCCUGGAAGGGAGCAACGGUACUAGUAUAUACUUUGUGCAAGCUGCCACUUUCCU
rnacentral:SRP_RNA from 2 species